ensembl:misc_RNA
AUGACAGCCCUGGAGAUUGAGGUUCUCUAUCUAACCACAGAACAGAGUCAGAAGAGAGUGGCAAAGCAAACUUCCCUCAUGCUGCUCCUCAGUCUUGAUCUUGAAGGACUAGCAGUAGAGCUGAGUGAAAUGUUUAAGACAAAAGGUUUAUUUACCCCCAAAAAGCA